rnacentral:rRNA from 1 species
UACGUAGGUGGCAAGCGUUGUCCGGAUUUACUGGGCGUAAAGAGCGCGCAGGCGGUCGUUCAAGUCGCGUGUGAAAGCCCCCGGCUCAACUGGGGAGGGUCACGCGAUACUGAUCGACUCGAAGGCAGGAGAGGGUAGUGGAAUUCCCGGUGUAGUGGUGAAAUGCGUAGAUAUCGGGAGGAACACCAGUGGCGAAGGCGCCUAUCUGGCCCGAUACUGACGCUGAGGCGCGAAAGCUAGGGGAGCAAACGGG